rnacentral:rRNA from 1 species
GACGAACGCUGGCGGCGUGCUUAACACAUGCAAGUCGAACGGAAAGGCCCUGCUUUUGUGGGGUGCUCGAGUGGCGAACGGGUGAGUAACACGUGAGUAACCUGCCCUUGACUUUGGGAUAACUUCAGGAAACUGGGGCUAAUACCGGAUAGGAGCUCCUGCUGCAUGGUGGGGGUUGGUAAGUUUCGGCGGUUCGGGAUGGACUCGCGGCUUAUCAGCUUGUUGGUGGGGUAGUGGCUUACCAAGGCUUUGACGGGUAGCCGGCCUGAGAGGGUGACCGGCCACAUGGGGACUGAGAGACGGCCCAGUAGCCUACGGGAGGCAGCAGUGGGGAAUAUUGCACAAUGGGCGGAAGCCUGAUGCAGCAACGCCGCGUGCGGGAUGACGGCCUUCGGGUUGUAAACCGCUUUCGCCUGUGACGAAGCGUGAGUGACGGUAAUGGGUAAAGAAGCACCGGCUAACUACGUG